GCGCUGAAACGCACAUCUGAAGGAGGAUUUAGCAGUAAGCAGAAAAUAGAGCGUCCCGCUGAAACUGGCCCUGAAGCGCGCACACACCGCCCGUCACUCUCCCCAAAAGCCUCUUCCCAUUAACUAAAGCCUAACGAUCAAAAAGGGGAGGCAAGUCGUAACAUGGUAAGUGUACCGGAAGGUGCACUUGGACAAUC
rnacentral:rRNA from 1 species